ensembl:rRNA 5S_rRNA 5S ribosomal RNA
CUCCGUUACAAUAACUCUCUGCAACUCUCACAUGGUCGCCCACUAAAGCCAAGCAGGGUUAUGCCUGGUCAGUACCUGGAUAGGAGACCACAUGGGAAAGCUAGGUUGCUGCCGAAA